UAACCCUGUUGAGCCUGUAUCCAUUUGUUUGUUUUCAACCACAUGUAUAAACCAUUGGCCAAACACUCCUUACCCUUGUUUAGUACGAAUGUGGUGUUUCUUGAAAGCGUGCAAUAAUUCAAGUUUGGGGUGAUACGUGUAAAAGAAAGGCGAAGAAAGAAAGAAAAAAAUGAAAAAUGAAAAAAAAAAAAAAGAGAAAAGAAAAAAAAUAUAGUCUAAGAUACCCGAGUGAUCUAAGACUGAAAAAAAAAGACAACACUUGCAUUGUUCUAAAGAGAAACUCAAGAAUUGAGUGAAUAAAAAGUUUGAGAAAUCACCCCGAGAUCACUAAGUGAGCACAAACACGAGAAGCAUGACAUGAGUACCGAACCAAAUAAACCACUAGCUGUCCAUUUCCUUGUGUAUCCCACCUGUCCUAAGCCCAGUUACAACCCGAAAGUCCUCAUAAAGUGUGUGUAUUCUGUCAAUGUUAUGAAAGUAGAAUUGAUUCAAAUUCAAGAGUCGAUAUUGCAUAUCAUGAUUGUAUGAGCGAAACACUUUUAACCAAGAGAGAAUGUGUGAGAAGUGAGAAAAGCUUGCAGGUACUGAGAUACUUUGAUGUGGAAAUGCAGCAAGAGUCUGGUUAGUGUCAUCAGAAACCAAAUCAAGAAGGUAGGAACAGUGGCGAAUAACAUUGGUGGUUGUGGAAAGAAUGAAUUCAGGGUGACCUUU
rnacentral:lncRNA from 1 species